AUGCGUGAGGAGGAGAAGGCCGUGGUCAUGGUGGCGCGACGGAGGUCGUGGCUCGCCCCCGCCGCUUCUCUCGCGCCCCCCUUUUCCCUGCCCCCUCCCCGGCGUCCUUGCCUCUGCCAUGGCCUCCACCCUCCCUCUCCAUCGACCUUCCUGAGCUCUCCAUCUUCGGGGGUCGCCACCAUCCGAUGCCGCACGCCAUGA
rnacentral:rRNA from 1 species